rnacentral:lncRNA from 1 species
UCGAGUGUUAUACUGGUUAUGUGCUUUGAUGCUUGAUCACCAUUAUGGUAUAUGACUAAGUUAUAUGAUGCAAAAUUAAGUGAAUGCCACAUUGAUUUUGAGUAUGCUUCUUGCAAUUAAAAGGUGCGAUUACUUAGGGUAAAUGCCAUGCUAUAAGAAUUACAUGAUUGAUUUGGUUACUCGUGCUCAUCAUACGCUUCAUGUUUAUAUCUAGCCUAAGUGCCAUAGGGAGAUUGCAUGUUGUAGGAGUUAUUCUAGCCUAAAUGCCAUAGGGAGAAUAAAUGUAAGGUAACCAAUCUUCAAUAUGAAAUUACCUGUUAAUGGAUGAAUGAACAUAAGUGCUAUAUUGGAUUGCUUGUGGUGGACACCUAGCCUUAGUGUAUUAUCCUCCUGAUUUUCUCAACCAAUUAAUAAUCCUUCAAAACUGU